rnacentral:lncRNA from 1 species
CUGAAGCCAAGGCGGGAGGCAGCUGACAACACCCACGGCCCAUGUGGAGGUGGUGGAAAGGCUGGACUCAGCAGCAACACCAAAUCCCGGACCAGGCAGAAACCACCCAAGACUGAGGGGCUCAUGCCAGAGCGGUGGCCACAGGAGGUACCGUUGGGAAUGAAUUCUGUGCUGUUGUUGCCAAUCCUGGAAUGAAGUGAGACUCCCCUCCUCAGCCUCCUGACAGAGUCAUCUCAUUUCUUCUUUGA